rnacentral:hammerhead_ribozyme from 1 species
GUACAGCUGACGAGUCCCAAACAGGACGAAAUGCGCUUUGUCCCGGAU